rnacentral:rRNA from 1 species
CUUCCGUUAAUUGAUUAUGACGUGCUUGCACUGAAUGAGAUUUUAACACGAAGUGAGUGGCGGACGGGUGAGUAACACGUGGGUAACCUGCCCAGAAGCAGGGGAUAACACCUGGAAACAGAUGCUAAUACCGUAUAACAGAGAAAACCGCCUGGUUUUCUUUUAAAAGAUGGCUCUGCUAUCACUUCUGGAUGGACCCGCGGCGCAUUAGCUAGUUGGUGAGGUAACGGCUCACCAAGGCGAUGAUGCGUAGCCGACCUGAGAGGGUAAUCGGCCACAUUGGGACUGAGACACGGCCCAGACUCCUACGGGAGGCAGCAGUAGGGAAUCUUCCACAAUGGACGCAAGUCUGAUGGAGCAACGCCGCGUGAGUGAAGAAGGGUUUCGGCUCGUAAAGCUCUGUUGUUAAAGAAGAACGUGGGUGAGAGUAACUGUUCACCCAGUGACGGUAUUUAACCAGAAAGCCACGGCUAACUACGUGCCAGCAGCCGCGGUAAUACGUAGGUGGCAAGCGUUAUCCGGAUUUAUUGGGCGUAAAGCGAGCGCAGGCGGUCUUUUAAGUCUAAUGUGAAAGCCUUCGGCUCAACCGAAGAAGUGCAUUGGAAACUGGGAGACUUGAGUGCAGAAGAGGACAGUGGAACUCCAUGUGUAGCGGUGAAAUGCGUAGAUAUAUGGAAGAACACCAGUGGCGAAGGCGGCUGUCUGGUCUGUAACUGACGCUGAGGCUCGAAAGCAUGGGUAGCGAACAGGAUUAGAUACCCUGGUAGUCCAUGCCGUAAACGAUGAUUACUAAGUGUUGGAGGGUUUCCGCCCUUCAGUGCUGCAGCUAACGCAUUAAGUAAUCCGCCUGGGGAGUACGACCGCAAGGUUGAAACUCAAAAGAAUUGACGGGGGCCCGCACAAGCGGUGGAGCAUGUGGUUUAAUUCGAAGCUACGCGAAGAACCUUACCAGGUCUUGACAUCUUCUGCCAACCUAAGAGAUUAGGCGUUCCCUUCGGGGACAGAAUGACAGGUGGUGCAUGGUUGUCGUCAGCUCGUGUCGUGAGAUGUUGGGUUAAGUCCCGCAACGAGCGCAACCCUUAUUACUAGUUGCCAGCAUUCAGUUGGGCACUCUAGUGAGACUGCCGGUGACAAACCGGAGGAAGGUGGGGACGACGUCAAAUCAUCAUGCCCCUUAUGACCUGGGCUACACACGUGCUACAAUGGAUGGUACAACGAGUUGCGAAACCGCGAGGUUUAGCUAAUCUCUUAAAACCAUUCUCAGUUCGGACUGUAGGCUGCAACUCGCCUACACGAAGUCGGAAUCGCUAGUAAUCGCGGAUCAGCAUGCCGCGGUGAAUACGUUCCCGGGCCUUGUACACACCGCCCGUCACACCAUGAGAGUUUGUAACACCCAAAGC